rnacentral:rRNA from 1 species
AGAGUUUGAUCCUGGCUCAGAUUGAACGCUGGCGGAAUGCUUUACACAUGCAAGUCGAGCGGCAGCGCGGGGGGCAACCCUGGCGGCGAGCGGCGAACGGGUGAGUAACAUAUCGGAACGUACCCCGUCUGGGGGAUAACACAGCGAAAGCUGUGCUAAUACCGCAUACGACCUGAGGGUGAAAGCGGGGGAUCGCAAGACCUCGCGCGAUGGGAGCGGCCGAUAUCGGAUUAGCUUGUUGGUGAGGUAAAGGCUCACCAAGGCGACGAUCCGUAGCUGGUCUGAGAGGACGACCAGCCACACUGGAACUGAGACACGGUCCAGACUCCUACGGGAGGCAGCAGUGGGGAAUUUUGGACAAUGGGCGAAAGCCUGAUCCAGCCAUGCCGCGUGAGUGAAGAAGGCCUUCGGGUUGUAAAGCUCUUUCGGUGGGGAAGAAAUUGCAUAGGCUAAUACCCUAUGUAGAUGACGGUACCUGGAGAAGAAGCACCGGCUAACUACGUG